rnacentral:tRNA from 1 species
UGGCUCAGUGGAAGAGCGCUUGCCUUACAUGCAUGAGGCCCUGGGUUCAAUUCCUCAG